CCGGGUAAUGCAAGUGCGUACUGCUCAAGUGUGUGGUUGUGAGAUCAUCUCGAAAUCCUUUUAACAGUUCAGGAACAACGUGAUGUAAAUAUGAGACGGGCCCUCGUCCUUCGUGCACUUCCUGUGUACCUGCGUGAAGAUGCCUCCAAGUUUUUCAGGACCUGUAAUUCAGCAGAUGGUCCAGACCUCACUGACACUCCGGUGGCUCUCCUGACAGUUGUCACUGAUGAUACUACUGAUGCGGCCCUCUUCAGCCCUGAGAGCAUCUCUAUUGUCGUGGAAGAUGAAAUAC